UGAGGAAUAUUGGUCAAUGGGCGCAAGCCUGAACCAGCCAUCCCGCGUGCAGGAAGACGGCCCUAUGGGUUGUAAACUGCUUUUCCAGGGGGAGAAACUUGCGCACGUGUUGCGCAAUUGACGGUACCCUGGGAAUAAGCAUCGGCUAACUCCGUGCCAGCAGCCGCGGUAAUACGGAGGAUGCGAGCGUUAUCCGGAUUCAUUGGGUUUAAAGGGUGCGUAGGCGGACUAUUAAGUCAGUGGUGAAAUCCUGCAGCUUAACUGUAGAACUGCCAUUGAUACUGAUAGCCUUGAGUUUGGUUAAGGUAGGCGGAAUGUGUAAUGUAGCGGUGAAAUGCUUAGAUGUUACACAGAGCACCAAUUGCGUAGGCAGCUUACUGAGCCGACACUGACGCUGAGGCACGAAAGCGUGGGGAUCGAACA
rnacentral:rRNA from 1 species